AUACAUAUAACAAUGGCAGAGUGAAGAUAGAGAAAUAAAGAUAUCAU
rnacentral:guide_RNA from 1 species